GGACGUGAAACCUCCAACCAUGGCCAUACCACAGGUGCGCACCCCUCUCCCAUCGAACUUCUCUCUCCUACACUGUCCCUCCCAGCCUCCCGGGAGCCGCCGUCGUGAGUCGCUCGCCCAUGUUCCUUCUCCCCCUCCGGUCCCGCCUCAUCGCCCAACGAGACCUAGGCCCCUCACCUCCACGGCGGCGGAUCGGGGGCCGGCGACGGUGCGCGAGGCUACGGAGGCGAUAGCGGCUCCCCCUCCUCCGACGUCGCCUCUCCACUCUCCCCAUCCUUCGUCAUCGCGACCGCGUCUCAGUCUGACGGCCACCCGUUGGGUCCAACCCAAGGUGUACCCGCUAUUCAUGACGAUGGGUGUUGCUAUGGGCAUAUGCGGACUUCAGCUCUUCUGGAACAUCACCGGCAACCUGGAAGUCAGGUUCGGAUCUAUAAUCUUCACUCCUUUUGCCUAUUCGAUUCUUGCAAGAGAUGUGCUGUUCCAUCUAGAGCAGGGUACGUAGAUCUACUUGGUCCGCCGCCUCGCCUUCUCCCCCUCUCCCUCGGCAGCCGCCGCGAGCGGCCCUUCAUCGACGGCGUCUGCUCCGACAAUGCCACCCUCAUGCCUCGCUCGGAUCUCUCCGAUCGCGUCCCUUCUCACAACACAGACCCUCAGGCCGCUUCUCUCGUCAAUACCUCGACAGCACUCCUCGUCCUCCUCGCCCUUGCGGUGGCCAGUGGAGUGGCGGCAGACGGCUCAGACCACCGGUACAAGAUGUACAGGCUUGUCCCCACUGAACGGCAACAAUGGCCCCUUUCACAAUCCUAGAUGCUAAAGAUGGGGUCGUUUCUGAUUUCCUGAGCCUCAGCACGAUGUUGUUUCCGAAUUUUAGUGCGGACUUGAAUGGGACAACUGGCGAUAUGGUUGAUUUUCAAUCUACAGGGGAUGUAGGGAAUAGCGCAGCCAUCACCGAGAUGGGCAACCUGGUUCCUGAGCCAUCCUACGAGGAACAGAAAAGGCUAGAUUAUGGAGUGUUGCUACUAUGAAUUGCUUAGAUUUCGAUGCCUGGACCACAGUUGUUGAGGAGACGGACAAAAAUGCUGAGGUUGUGCAUGCUACAAGAUUACUUGUGUUCUGACUGCCACCAUGUAGCAACAUUGAGGUCACCAUUGGAUCAUGGCACUCCAAUUUUAUGAGAUGCUAGCGAGCCAACACAACUUGAUUUGUGCUUCUAAUCAUGACUAUGGACCUUCCUCCCUUCUCGUGCUAGCCAACGCAACUUGAUCUCUGUAUGUAAAUAUCUUACUGCAGUUCCCAGGUGCAGUGGCUGCUCUGCUUACGCCCACUGGUAGGUUAAUCUGGUUCUUAGAAUUUUCUAGCCGCAAAUUGUAUUGUUUAGUUACUUGGAUAGCUGACGUCUUUUGAUCACCAAAAUAUGUAAUUGAUUUCGUACU